GACUGCCAUCUCUCUGGAGAAGGUUUAGGUCUAGGCUGAGUUGACAGACUGCCACCUCUCUGGAGAAGGUUUAGGUCUAGGCUGAUUUGACAGACUGCCACCUCUCUGGAGAAGGUUUAGGUCUAGGCUGAGUUGACAGACUGCCACCUCUCUGGAGAAGGUUUAGGUGUAGGCUGAUUAGACAGACUGCCACCUCUCUGGAGAAGGUUUAGGUCUAGGCUGAUUAGACAGACUGCCAUCUCUCUCUGGAGAAGGUUUAGGUCUAGGCUGAUUAGACAGACUGCCACCUCUCUGGAGAAGGUUUAGGUCUAGGCUGAUUAGACAGACUGCCAUCUCUCUGGAGGAAGCUUCGGUGUAGGCUGAUUUGUUCUAUGUUUAGAUAAUUGUCUUUGAGUCACAGACAGUUUACGUCACAGACAGCACUGAGAUAUAAGAAAGUAGGCCUGCGUGUCUAGCCCUUCUAUCUAGCCAUUCCUACCCAUAAGAGCUCUCUGCGGGAUUUUGAAAUGAAAUACCGUCUAUUUCUCG
rnacentral:lncRNA from 1 species